GGCACGGGACGAGGAGCUGCUGCGGCGCGCCGUGCUGGAGUCGCUGCGGCUGUUCCCGGUGCAGCCGCUGCUGGCCCGCCAGCUGUCCGAGGACGUGAAGCUGCCACCGGCAGGUGGCCGCGGCCAGCUGCUGCUGCCCCAGGGCUGCACCGCCGUCGUCUGCUCGCCGCUCACACACCGCGAUCCCCAGCACUGGCCCGACCCGGACACCUUCCAGCCCGACAGGUUCCUGGAGGAGCACGAGGCACGCAGGCACCCGUUCGCCUUCCUGGCGUUCGGCGGCGGCGCGCGGCGCUGUCCCGGCAGCGAGCUGUCGCUGCAGCUGCUGUGCGCCGCGCUGUCUCGCCUGCUGUCCGCCUUCCGCGUCGCCGCCGCUGCGGGCGACAGCCGCGACCACCUGCAGGACCUGUGCCUGCACGCCGUGCUGGCCCCGCGGCGGGGCUUCCAGCUGCGGCUGCUGCCCAGGGCCUGACCUCAGCCAGCAGGUGGCUGACGUCGCUGCCACCAGGCCGCCAUUGAAGCACCACCAGACAGUUUCCAGCUUCGCUCAUUCUCGAGUGUGCGGUGGAAGUGGUUACGUCAGCCUCAUAAGCUGUAAAAGACAAAAGUCACAUGCCGUACACAGUUAUUCGUAGUGCGAACAUCAACGUACGUGACCUCGAAAUAGAAAGCUCCAAAUUUCCUCGUGCUCACUUACGAGGGGUAUUCAAUAAGCAAUGGAACACAAUUUUUUCUGAUGGCAGGCUGGUUUUAUCCAGGAUUAUUCCCCUCUCUUUUGCCUUCGAGAACCCUUUUUUUUUAGCGUUAUCUCCGUUCGAUGCAACGGCCUUAUUCCACCUUACUGGGAGAGCUGGUGUGCUGAUGUGAUGUUACUCUACUGGUCGACGUCAGAGCCAAUGUCUUGCUGCAUCAAUAAGUUCCCCAUUAUCCAAGGAGUGCUUCCUUCAGGAUGGUCAAACAGAUGGAAGUUGGUAGAUACAAGAUCUGGGCUACAUGUUGGUCAAGAAGAACAGUGCACUGAACGUCUGUGCAUUCAUAUCAAAUGGCCAGACUUGUAUGAGGCCUUCCAUUGUCACGAAGAAGAAGUUCUUUUGGAUUUUAGUGGUGACGAACGUGCUCAAGUCGUUUCUUCAAUUUCCUGGGGGAAGCACAAACCUUUAAGUACACCAAAUGGUCGACGAACGUGUCAGCACUACGGACAAUGCGUCCAGUUGAGCCUUAGGUGUUUGAUCGUGAUCUGUGCAUCACCUCCAAUUAGAGUGUCUGCAAAUUCCAUCAUUGCAGGAGUCACACCUGUGUUGAGCUGAGCAUACGGGAGAUCAGACACGUUUGCAUGGCACUGGUACGAUGAUGGGGGACCCCUCGUCCAACAGCUCACCGUGCUUUUGUUCACUGCCAGGUCUCCGUAGGCAUUCUGCGAGCGCUACGGGUAUCUCCGAUAGCCUUGUUUUCCUUCGAAAGGAACUCGGUGACAGCUCUGUGCUUGGAACGCACCUCCAUUAGAGACGCCAUUUUGAAGGCUACGUACAGCACCGCCACCUAUCGGAACUUCAUGAAUAUUCCACGAUGUCCCACAAUAAAUUCCACAUUUUUCCAAUCGAAACUGGAGGAGGAAACAAAUGUACUGCAUAACGUAUUGAACGCCCUCCGUGUAAAUGUGUUGCAGAACUGCAAACAGCUCUGUGUAUGUGUAAUUUCUGGAUUCCUGAUCUGAGGUCUUGUACAUUGACAGCCAUGCUAUGCAUAACUGUGUGUAGCACACCACUAUUGUUUUAUACAACUUAUGAGAAAGAUGUGUCCACAUCUAUUAUAUUAGUGAUUGAUGAACCACCAUUUCAAAUCAAUGGUGUGCUGGAAACAAUAUGCUUCUUCAAAAGACAUACGGCUUGGUGACGGUGCCAUGUGGGGAAAACUAUGCCAGAAGAAUCCACAGAAGAAGUGUAAACUGACAUGAUUACAGUUGCAACAGCUGUCCGCAAAGAAAUAUUCUCUGUAUUGCAACAACACA